CCUACGGGAGGCAGCAGUGGGGAAUUUUGGACAAUGGGCGCAAGCCUGAUCCAGCCAUGCCGCGUGCGGGAAGAAGGCCUUCGGGUUGUAAACCGCUUUUGUCAGGGAAGAAAUCCUUUGGGCUAAUACCUCGGAGGGAUGACGGUACCUGAAGAAUAAGCACCGGCUAACUACGUGCCAGCAGCCGCGGUAAUACGUAGGGUGCGAGCGUUAAUCGGAAUUACUGGGCGUAAAGCGUGCGCAGGCGGUUAUGCAAGACAGAUGUGAAAUCCCCGGGCUUAACCUGGGAACUGCAUUUGUGACUGCAUAGCUCGAGUACGGCAGAGGGGGAUGGAAUUCCGCGUGUAGCAGUGAAAUGCGUAGAUAUGCGGAGGAACACCGAUGGCGAAGGCAAUCCCCUGGGCCUGUACUGACGCUCAUGCACGAAAGCGUGGGGAGCAAACAGGAUUAGAUACCCUGGUAGUCCACGCCCUAAACGAUGUCAACUGGUUGUUGGACGGCUUGCUGUUCAGUAACGAAGCUAACGCGUGAAGUUGACCGCCUGGGGAGUCGGCCGCAGGUUGAAACUCAAAUGAAUUGACGGCUGAGAGNGCGAGGCGACGACGAGGGAGGAGG
rnacentral:rRNA from 1 species